rnacentral:lncRNA from 1 species
GAAGUUUUCUCCUCCUGUCCUGUAACUGGUUUUCACUCACUCAACUGAGAGAUUUCUUUGUUGCAAUGAUGGGGUCUAAGAUAACACUUCUGGAGGCUGCAGGCGAGAAACACAGCUGAUAUCAUCUUUUAUUGUGUGUUGUUAUUUGCCUAGCAUUAUAAAUUAAGGAGGAAUAGUAACAAAGAGCUUGAAGACAUGCACAGCUCACAGGCCCCGGGUGGAGGCUGGCGACAUCAGACAGACAGAACCAAGACAUCUGAGGGGCAACCAGGAGGUGCGUGUGGCUGCAGAGCACACAGACUUGUCUUUGGACAAAAUUGAGAAGAACUCAUAAACUUGGCUUCCUCGCUUCUGCUCCUCAGACGCGCGUGGAUGAUUUGAAGAUAUUAGCCUAACAAGAUGGAAGCAGGUUUAAAAUUUUACAUAAGAAGUUACCUUUUUCAGUUGUGUUGAUGUUCCUUUCAGCUGGUCCUAUAGUACCCCUCCUCAGGAAUGUCUCCCCAGUGCAAGGACAAAGACUGAAGAGACUGCUAUAUUGAUGGACUCUCAAGCCAAC